rnacentral:lncRNA from 1 species
GGGGACCACAAAAAAGCUUUCAAAAAUGAAACAAAAUACAACGACGGGACCACCGCACCACCCAAAAUCACAAAAAGAACAACAAAGCCAACUUCUUUUACUGACCUGGCCACUCGAGAUUGCAGAGAAGAAGGUCCCACAACUCCCACGACGACGACAACUUCACGCUCUUUGUCAACGUCAACUUCUAUUUAACCCUAAACCCCCAAAUUGAUUCCCCAAUUUCAGAAAUGGUUUAAGUGUUUGGAUGGACGAACCCUAGAUGCACUCUCCCAAUCCCGACAACAAUUUUGGACGAACCCCCAAAUUAAUUCGAAAAUGGAACAUUCACGACAGCAAUUUUGGCUUAUGACAUUAAUUUUAGUAUUAUUUCAUUUUGUGUUUAUUUUUUCCUAAAAAUUUUUAUUAUUAUAAUUCGUUAAAAAAAUUCAAUCUGCCACGUCAUUUAAUGAACUCCAUACACUGUGCCAUGUCACAAACAGACUUAACACUGUUACCCCCAAUUUAACGGAAAGGAGCUGAUUGAUACAAUUUCUUGAUUUUUAGGACCCAAUUGAGAAAACGAAAAAAAGAGGGACUAAAUUGAGAUUCUACGCAAAAAUAGGGACUUGGUGAAUGAUUAAACCUUUUUAU